rnacentral:lncRNA from 1 species
CACAUGCUAGGUGAGCGCUCUACUGCUGAGCCACAACCCCAGCCUACAAUAUAUAUUUUUUUAAUUAUAAAAUGCCUAGUUUUAGACUGAACAAAACUAUUCAAUAUCUAUAAGAAGCUACAAAACUUUACUAAAAUGCAUAAAAGCCUAAGUCAAAUGGAGAAUGUGGCCCUGCAGGGAAGAGUCAAUAUUGUAAACAUGUUGAUUUCCUCCAAAUCAAUCUAUCAAAUCAAUGCAAUCUCAAUUAAAAAAAAAUCAACAUGUUUUUAAUGGACUCAAUAAGCACUUUCAAAGGCUUACGUAAAUUAGAGAAAAUGUGCAAGAAUGGUCAAGAAUAUUUGAAUACAGAACACUGGGGGAUUUACUCUAUAUCAAAAUAUCUAAUAACUUAUUAUAAUAGUGUAAAAGAAACAAAUAGAUCAAUGAACCCAGAGUCCUGAGCCAGACAUACUAAAUUUAUCCAUAGCAAGACCCCAUGUGAGAAAAGGAAGGGCUGCCUAAGAAAAACCACAGAAACCAUUAUUCUUUCAUCAAGAAAAAAGUAAAAUUAGAAGUUGAAUAGUGUCUCCUUACAAUUCAUCUCCACCCAGAACUUCAGAAUGUGAAUUUUUUAGUAAUUAAGGGAAGAAUUGAUAUGAGACCAUAUUGGAUUAGGGUGGCACCUAAAUUCAUGGAGAGUGUCCUAUAAGGAGACAGAAAAAGACAUACAAAGACACAGAGAUGGUGGCAAUGUGACGAUAGAGUAAGAGAUUGUAAUGGUAAGUCUGUAAACCAAAUGAUGCCAAGGAUUGCUGCCAGCCACUAGACACUGAGAGAGAGGCAUAAGAAGGUUUUACUAGAAACUAACCCUCCAACAUGUUGAGUUCAGAAUUCUGACCUCCAGACUGUGAGAAAAUUCCACAAGCUACCCAACCUGUAAUAAUUUGUUAUGGCAGCCUUAAGAAACUAAUACAAUGCUUUAUCACAUUUCAAAUAUAAAAUAAGUUCCAAAUUAUCAAAGGUUAAAUACUGUAAAUGUAUUUGAAGACAACCUUGAAAAAUGUUUUUAUAAUUCAUAGGCUAGAUAACUUCCCAAACAAGGAAUCAAUCCCAGAUGUCUUUUAAAAUUUAUAUACAUUAAAAAUAAAAUUUAAAAUAUGUGGAAGAAAAAUAAAAUUAAAAAGCCAAAAUGUAUAUCAAAAGGCACUAUUAGGUUAAAAGACAAGUAAGUAACUGAAGAAAAUAUUUGCAGUAUGUAGCACAUUAAGGGUUAAUAUCUAUACUAGUCAGAGAUUAUACAAAUUAUUAAUGAACACAAAUGACUCAGAAAAAUUAUUCAAAUUAUAAAAAGUGGAAACACUGAAGAAAUACAAAAAGGCCAAUAAAAGCUUUAUAAUAGGAGCUGGGGUUGUGGCUCAGUGGUAGAGCGCUCAUCUAGCAUGCAUGAGGCACUG